rnacentral:rRNA from 1 species
GACAGAGGGGGCUAGCGUUGUUCGGAAUGACUGGGCGUAAAGGGUGCGUAGGCGGUCCUACAAGUAAAAUGUUAAAUGCCUGAGCUUAACUCAGGUCUGCAUUUUAAACUGUAGGACUCGAGAUCGAAAGAGGAAAGUGGAAUUCCUAGUGUAGAGGUGAAAUUCGUAGAUAUUAGGAGGAACGCCAAAGGCGAAAGCAGCUUUCUGGUUCGUAUCUGACGCUGAGGCACGAAAGCGUGGGGAGCAAACAGG